rnacentral:pre_miRNA from 1 species
UUAACUCAAAGUAUGGAGUUGGAAUGUUUGCCUACGUAUGCCGCUAGGGGCGCUGUUCCAACUGCAUACAAAUUUGGGUUA